UGGACCAGUCCACUUUGUCUA
rnacentral:snRNA from 1 species